AAAGUCGUAACAAGGUUUCCGUAGGUGAACCUGCGGAAGGAUCAUUAAAGAUAUAGGAUAUAUUUCUCCUUAACCCCACUCUGAGUACUUGUACGUGUUGCUUCCGUGGGCAGCGAGAAAUAUGCUCGCGUCUGCUCUUAUGGUGGACCCACGGGAGGUAUCGAUAUACUCCGCAUUUCUGUGAAAUCCGUCUGACUAUGUUUAUUCUAUAAACUUCAAAACUUUCAACAACGGAUCUCUUGGUUCUC
rnacentral:misc_RNA from 1 species